UUUCUUUGCUAUUCUUGUUUUUCAACCGAGUGCCUUUCUUUGGCCAGUGCUUCUUUUGAACCCUCGAGUUUAUUUUCUUUUCUCUUUUUUUUUCUCGAUGAUUCUCUUAUUUUUUUUCGCACUCACCUUGGCUUUUGAAACUUAUGGGGUUUUACCCCAAACUUAGAAUUUCAACACAGCUUAAUAAUAUCAACUUGACUCCGAACAGGGUAAGGAAGUGUUUU
rnacentral:lncRNA from 1 species